AUGAAAAUUUACGAUUGUAAUUCAUAUGGUUUAUAUUAAGUUAAUUUCUUGUGAAAUUUGCAAUGUUUAUAUUAUUACAAUAAUUUAAUAAUUUUCAUGGAUUUAAAAACUAAAAAAAUUAAUGUUCUAAGCAAUUCUGAAUCUUUGUUGUUUAGGUAUCUCUGCCAGCACUUCAUAGUAUAAAUUCCAUGUCAAAAAAAUAUAUGUUUGGGACAGUGAUUAUUCUAAAUUGUAAGGUUGGAAUUACUUAAAAUUACACAAAAAUAUAUUAAGUUCAAUCCUUCCAAAGUACAUAUAUAUUAAAAUUUACAUUUAAAAGUAAAAAGAAAAAGAGGCAUGGACAUGGCUUUAACAAAUAGAAAAUCAUUCCAACACAUCAACUAAAUUAUAUUCAACAGGUACAUAUCUUAGUUAGUUUGACCGCCACCGCCGUUGCUCUUAGGCGGUCCAGGAACACGUCUAGCUAACGCAGUGACAAAUGAAUAUGGAAAUUGUAUUUGGAGUAACUUAAGCUUGGUAGAUAUCCAGUAGUCCCUUACUGAUUGAGAGAUGGGUAUAUUGAAAGAAUCCUCACCUAAACCAUCACUUUGGCCAUCCAACUUUGUUAUCAGCUGCUGAGUCGAAUCCUCCAUUUUUAACCCUUUUCAGCAACAACUUAGAAUCUCUCUCUUGAUCCCCUUUGUGUUUCAAGGGUUUCUGUGUGGGACUUGAUUGAAUCAACAGAAGUUGUAUAUAUAUAGGGGAAGAAAAGUUGACUAUGAAUCCUCAUAACUAAAAGAAAGUAAUACUAAUAAUAAUAAUAAUAAUAAAUGAGUAGCAUGAGGUAAUAAUAAUGAAUAUGAGUUAAGGUUUGUAUUGAAAUUACGGUCCUACCCUUUUCAUUUCUUACCAUUUCCGACUAAUUGGCUGUUGAAGAGAGAAGAAAAUUUAUAGUUCCAUGCAAACUCUAUUUGUUGUCUGUCUGCUGAAUAUACUUUUAAAAAACAGUCCACGAUUUGUUAGUAUCAAAAAAUAUAUUUGUGGUAACUGUUAUUUUGGCUAGAAAAUUUCUUUUGUUCUUGUCUUUUUAUUAACACUUACGUAGUUUUUUUUUUUUUUUGGCAAUCGAGGAACCUUCGUUUUUUAGUCUUCUGCCUAUUUGGAAGCUUUACUUGUAGAGCUAAAAUAGUUAUGGCUGUCUUUUGGCUCCUCCUUAGAUAUUGAUAUGGAAAUAUAACAUUUGUCUUUUGGUUGCAAACCUAAGCUAUUGUUCAAGAAGAGAAAACUGUUUGUGCUUGGUUAUAUAUACAGCAAAAACAAUUCUCUGUAACGUGUGUGGAACACAUUGUUACUGAGGUGAACAUAUAUCGAGCCUAACUUCAAAUAUAUUUUGAGGAUUCUCAUUUGAGGAGAGCCUAAAUACAGAGAUAUGACGGUGAACCAAGUUUCAACAGGUUUAGAGGAAGCCUAACUUCAAAAAUAAAACAUAUUUUUAUUUUUAUAUUAUUUGUAUUGUGGCAAAAAUCAAAGGAAAUAGUUCUAGGAAAAUUUUCGUGUAUCAACUCACUGGUAAUAUGGUUAGAAAAGAAAAGAAAACUCUUUGAAGACUGAAACAAAGUCUUAUCUUUUGACUUGGACGUUAGAAAAAGCACGUGGUUUUGGCAUCUGUUCUUUUGUUUUGCCUACACGUAGCUGCCUAUGAACAAUUAUGAGUAUUUAAUUAAGGUGAAAGGAUGUUGUGGUUUGGUUUAUGAACCAUUUGACCAUUGGAUGUGUCCAAAACAAUGGUAUUGAUUGGGUUUGGAAUUUGAUUCGUUCAAAGUAAUGGUUAUUUAAUUUGAAAGUGAUUCAAUUAGUUAAUGUUUUAUUUGAUUUGGUUCAACGAACUUCUCACCCAUAUCGGCUACUCUGUUUCACACAUAAACUCCAUCCAAUUAGCUCCACGUUAGACGUGGAUUUGCUGUUUUUAUAUUAGCUUGUCACCGUUUGAAGUUUUAGUCUUGCAUUCAACUAUUUCAUAUAGCUACCUAAACUCCUUUAACCAAUUGGGUUUGAGACUUUGAAUUUGUAAAAUUGUUCAAGAUAAUUUUUCAAAUCAAGUUCUAGUCAAAUUAACUCUAUUUUUAAAACUUUUUAAUUUCUUUUAGCCUUACACCACUUGACGAAUUAAUUUGUUGUUUAUUUGUUUAUUAGUUGAGUAAAGUAAAGGAGGUAUUUAUACACAACAAUGACUAGACAUCCUAACAGAACUUAGCAACCUAACACAAUGACAAAUUAUAAAAAAUUAACAACCUAACAAAAUAUAAUAACAAAUUACAUUAAAAUUAACUUCUCCUCCAGCUGAAGGUGAUAGUGUAGAGACCAACUUGAUUUUUUACCUGUAACGGAUGGAAGCGAGCAGGGACGAGCGUGUUAGUGAUAAUAUCUCUGCUGAUUGUUUUGCCGUGGAUAUGGAUUGAAAAC
rnacentral:lncRNA from 1 species